rnacentral:ncRNA from 1 species
AUAAAAGCGUUGAAGGCGUUAUAGGGAGUUGUUUUCUUUCAGAGAGAAGAAGUCACCGGCUGCAAGCUUCUUUAAGUUCAGACAGUUCCUCAGUUUCCCGCCGGAGCUGCAUUUCUGAACCCCGGAGGCAGUAGGAAAUGACGUAGCUGCGCGUUAAGCAGAUACUUUGAGCGCCUGUAUGUACACGCAGGAAACAGGGUGGUACCGCGGAUAUUCCGUCCCUCUU